ACCUGCAGAAGCCAGGCCAGUCUCCACAGCUCCUCAUCUACUUGGUUUCCAACCGAUUUUCUGGAGUCCCAGACAGGUUCAGUGGCAGUGGGUCAGGCACAGAUUUCACACUCAAGAUCAGCAAAGUGGAGCCUGAGGAUUUGGGAGUUUAUUACUGUAUGCAAGCUACACAUCUUCCGCUCACGUUCGGCGGCGGGACCAAGCUGGAGCUGAAACGGGCUGAUGCUAAGCCAACUGUGUCCAUCUUCCCACCAUCCAAGGAGGAGUUACAGGCUGGAAGUGCCUCAGUCGUGUGUUUCCUGAACAACUUCUACCCCAAAGACAUCGACGUCAAGUGGAAGGUAGAUAACAAUGAACGACAAAGUGGAGUCCUGAAGAGUCUGACAGAUCAGGACAGCAAAGACAGCACCUACAGCCUGAGCAGCACCCUCACGCUGACCAAACAGGAAUAUGAAAGCCAUUCUGUCUACACCUGUGAGGCCACGCAUAAGACGUCAGCUACACCCAUCAGCAAGAGCCUCAACAGGAAUGAGUGUUAGAGCGAAGGGUCCUGAGGUGCCACCACCU